rnacentral:snRNA from 1 species
GUGCUUGCUUUGGCAGCACACAUACUGAAACUGGAAUGAUACAGAGAAGAUUAGCAGGGCCCCUGCCCAAGGAUAACAUGCAAAUUUGUAAGCAUUCCUUAUUUUU